rnacentral:rRNA from 1 species
CUACGUGAAGUCGGAGUCGCUAGUAAUCGCAGAUCAGCAACGCUGCGGUGAAUACGUUCCCGGGCCUUGUACACACCGCCCGUCAAGUCACGAAAGUCGGUAACACCCGAAGCCGGUGGCCCAACCCUUGUGGAGGGGGCCGUCUAAGGUGGGACUGGCAAUUGGGACUAAGUCGUAACAAGGUAGCCGUACCGGAAGGUGCGGCUGGAUCACCUCCUUUCU